CGUAGCUGUUAGUUAGGAGCGGGGUUUAGGUAUUUAGGUGCAGUUAUAUGCAGGUAGUAGGGGUUAGUUAGGAGCGGGGUUUAGGUAUUUUGGUGGAGUUAGGUAUUAUGCAGGUUAGUAGUGUGUACGUUAGGAGUGCGGUGGUUUAGGUAUUUUAGUGUGCAGUUCAUGAUAGGCAGGUAGUAGCUGUGUAGUUAGGAGCGGGGUUUAAGUGGUAUGUGUAGGUGUGCUAGGUUAUAUAUGCAGGUAGUAGCUGU